rnacentral:rRNA from 1 species
ACGCUCGACACCUACGGGAGGCGGCAGUGGGGAAUAUUGCACAAUGGGGGGAACCCUGAUGCAGCGACGCCGCGUGAGUGAAGAAGUACUUCGGUAUGUAAAGCUCUAUCAGCAGGGAAGAAAAUGACGGUACCUGACUAAGAAGCCCCGGCUAACUACGUGCCAACNGCCGCCGGUAAGUACUUGAGGCGGGCCGUGGCGAAGGACG